GAGGAAUAUUGGUCAAUGGGCGGGAGCCUGAACCAGCCAAGUCGCGUGAGGGAGGAAGGUCCUACGGAUUGUAAACCUCUUUAGCCGGGGAGCAACGUGCGCCACGUGUGGCGCAGUGAGAGUACCCGGAGAAUAAGCAUCGGCUAACUCCGUGCCAGCAGCCGCGGUAAUACGGAGGAUGCGAGCGUUAUCCGGAUUUAUUGGGUUUAAAGGGUGCGCAGGCGGCGCGAAAAGUCAGCGGUCAAAGUUCCGGGCUCAACCCGGUGACGCCGUUGAAACUUUCGAGCUGGAGUUCGUGCGAGGGAGGCGGAAUGCGUUGUGUAGCGGUGAAAUGCAUAGAUAUGACGCAGAACCCCGAUUGCGAAGGCAGCUUUCCAGCACGCGACUGACGCUGAGGCACGAAAGUGCGGGUAUCGAAC
rnacentral:rRNA from 1 species